rnacentral:rRNA from 1 species
UACGUAGGAGACGAGCGUUGUCCGGAAUCACUGGGCGUAAAGCGCGUGUAGGCGGAUGAGCAAGUCUGCUGUGAAAGCUCCUGGCUUAACCGGGAGUGGUCGGUGGAAACUGCUCGUCUGGAGGACGGUAGAGGCUGGUGGAAUUCCCGGUGUAGUGGUGAAAUGCGUAGAUAUCGGGAGGAACACCAGUGGCGAAGGCGACUACCUGGCCUGUUCUUGACGCUGAGGCGCGAAAGCUAGGGGAGCAAAGCGGGG